GACGAACGCUGGCGGCGUGCUUAACACAUGCAAGUCGAACGGAAAGGCCCCUUCGGGGGUACUCGAGUGGCGAACGGGUGAGUAACACGUGGGCAACCUGCCCCUAGCUCUGGGAUAACACUUGGAAACAGAUGCUAAUACCGGAUAAUGACCUUUCAUGGCAUCACGAUUGGUCCAAAGUUUUUCGCUAGGAUGGCCCGCGGCCUAUCAGCUUGUUGGUGGGGUAAUG
rnacentral:rRNA from 1 species